rnacentral:rRNA from 1 species
AGAGCUUGCUCUGGUUGAUCAGUGGCGAACGGGUGAGUAACACGUGAGUAACCUGCCCUUGACUCUGGGAUAACUCCGGGAAACCGGGGCUAAUACCGGAUACGAGACGCGACCGCAUGGUCGGCGUCUGGAAAGUUUUUCGGUCAAGGAUGGACUCGCGGCCUAUCAGCUUGUUGGUGAGGUAAUGGCUCACCAAGGCGUCGACGGGUAGCCGGCCUGAGAGGGCGACCGGCCACACUGGGACUGAGACACGGCCCAGACUCCUACGGGAGGCAGCAGUGGGGAAUAUUGCACAAUGGGCGAAAGCCUGAUGCAGCGACGCCGCGUGAGGGAUGAAGGCCUUCGGGUUGUAAACCUCUUUCAGUAGGGAAGAAGCGAAAGUGACGGUACCUGCAGAAGAAGCGCC